rnacentral:snoRNA from 1 species
AUUUGAUGGUGUGGGCAACUUGCACAUAGUGUCUAGAAACGCUCCCAAUAUUCAUACAGGGACUCUCUAUCGUUUUGCCUAAUACCACAUAUUUCCUUUCUAAUGUU